ACCAGCUGCCCUCGGCUGCCCAAGCCCCUCACUGUGAUGCUUACCACAGAUCUGUCCUUCCAGAAACACCUCCAGGAGGAUUAUUUCCAAUCCCCAGCUUCAACCGCCUGUCCUGCCACCCUCGUCACCCACCUGCCAGUUUGCUGCCCCACUUCCUGGAAGGCCAGCUCUGUGCAAAUCUACCACUUUAACCCCUCCAAGAUUUGGUUGGAGGGGCAGGCAUCAGGCAGGUAGGAGAUGCUAGGAAAUUUGAGGGGAAACUUUUAUUAAGUCUGUCCUUUGCCUAUUGGCUAACUUUAAUGGGGAUUGCUAAAUGCCUACUGUGUGCCAUGCGAUAUGAUAGACACUAUGUAUAGAUUGUAUUAUUUAGUAUUGGGCCAUUUUAUGGACAGGAAACCAAGGCUUAGCACAGUCAACUUGCCCAAAGUCAGCUAACUUACAAGCAGUAGCCAGGAUUCAAGAACUUUCUGCUUUUCUACUUGACCACCCUGCAACAUAACCAACAUAACAAAUCUAAGGUAAGUGACUAGUUGCUGGAAAUCCCCCAGUCUUUGUCCAAGGUCUUUAUUGAAAUGCAAGGACAGAAUUAUAGUUAAUUCCUCUGACUUCC
rnacentral:lncRNA from 1 species